rnacentral:tRNA from 1 species
CUCCCGCUGGUGUAAAGGAUAACAUUAGUGACUACGAAUCAUUAGAUAGAGGUUCGAUUCCUCUGUGGGAGGCCA